GCCCCAUGAAAGCACAUCAGCAGCAUCCGAGAUGCUCAGUGAGCGCAGAGAAGUUUUCCCAUCGUCUCCCAGAGGGCAAAGCUGCCUGGCUCUCAUCUGCAGGAGCCAGCUCUGCAGCCAUCCGCCUGUGGAGGUGGGACAUGCCUUGACUUGUGCUGCCUCAGUGAAGCAAAAAAAGCAGAAUGAGGCAAAGGCAGAUGGACAGAGAGACCAAGACGAGGGAGGAGAGGCAUGGUUGUCCAGUGAGAAGUGAUCUGAGCGUGGCACCAUUGGACAGACUGUGGUUCACAUCUACUGCAGAGAGAAAUCCCUGGAUGGAGGACCUGCCUAGAUACCUGAGCUCUGGGACGUUGGCAGAGAGAGGCUUUCCAGUUCCAGCCAAGCUUGGAAGGGAAACUAUGAGCCGGACUCACAGGUGGAAGCGAAGAGGGGGAGAUGCUUUAGUUUGGCUGCUGUGGGUGUUUCUCUGGCAGUGUCUUAGCUGGUUGUUGUGAGGAGUGAGAACGAAGCAAUCAGCAAGUAUACUGCCGCAGAAACUCUUCGCAAUAAAGAGCCCUGAGCGUGAGAUCA
rnacentral:lncRNA from 1 species